AGCGAACGCUGGCGGCAGGCCUAACACAUGCAAGUCGAACGAACCUUUCGGGGUUAGUGGCGGACGGGUGAGUAACACGUGGGAACGUGCAUGUAGGCUCGGAAUAACACAGGGAAACUUGUGCUAAUACCGAAUGUGCCAUUCGGGGGAAAGAUUAAUCGCCUUUAGAGCGGCCCGCGUCUGUUUAGCUAGUUGGGUGAGGUAAUGGCGCAUCAAGGCGACGAACAGUAGCUGGUCUGAGAGGAUGAGCCGCCACAUUGGCACUGAGACACGGCCCAAACUCCUACGGGAUGCAGCAGUGGGUAAUCCUGCGCUAUGGGCGAAAGCCUGACGCAGCCCUGCCGCGUGAAUGAUGAAGGUCUUAGGAUUGUACAAUUCUUUCACCGGGGACGAUAAUGACGGUACCCGGAGAAGAAGCCCCGGCUAACUUCGUG
rnacentral:rRNA from 1 species